CCUGCCUGUAAGACUGGGAUAACUCCGGGAAACCGGGGCUAAUACCGGAUGCUUGUCUGAACCGCAUGGUUCAGACAUAAAAGGUGGCUUCGGCUACCACUUACAGAUGGACCCGCGGCGCAUUAGCUAGUUGGUGAGGUAACGGCUCACCAAGGCGACGAUGCGUAGCCGACCUGAGAGGGUGAUCGGCCACACUGGGACUGAGACACGGCCCAGACUCCUACGGGAGGCAGCAGUAGGGAAUCUUCCGCAAUGGACGAAAGUCUGACGGAGCAACGCCGCGUGAGUGAUGAAGGUUUUCGGAUCGUAAAGCUCUGUUGUUAGGGAAGAACAAGUGCCGUUCAAAUAGGGCGGCACCUUGACGGUACCUAACCAGAAAGCCACGGCUAACUACGUGCCAGCAGCCGCGGUAAUACGUAGGUGGCAAGCGUUGUCCGGAAUUAUUGGGCGUAAAGGGCUCGCAGGCGGUUUCUUAAGUCUGAUGUGAAAGCCCCCGGCUCAACCGGGGAGGGUCAUUGGAAACUGGGGAACUUGAGUGCAGAAGAGGAGAGUGGAAUUCCACGUGUAGCGGUGAAAUGCGUAGAGAUGUGGAGGAACACCAGUGGCGAAGGCGACUCUCUGGUCUGUAACUGACGCUGAGGAG
rnacentral:rRNA from 1 species